AUUGAACGCUGGCGGCAUGCCUUACACAUGCAAGUCGAACGGAAACAGGCCGCAAGGUCCUGACUAGUGGCGCACGGGGGCGUAAUACAUCGGAACGUGCCCCGUCGCGGGGGGUAUCUACUCGAAAGAGGAGCUAAUACCGCAUACGAGCUAUGGAUGAAAGCGGGGGACCGCAAUGCCGCGCGCGAUUGGAGCUGCCGAUGUCAGAUUAGGUAGUUGGUGGGGUAAAGGCUCACCAAGGCAACGAUCUGUAGCUGGUCUGAGAGGACGAGCAGCCACACUGGGACUGAGACACGGCCCAGACUCCUACGGGAGGCAGCAGUGGGGAAUUUUGGACAAUGGGCGCAAGCCUGAUCCAGCAAUGCCGCGUGCAGGAAGAAGGCCUUCGGGUUGUAAACUGCUUUUGUACGGAACGAAACGGCUCUGGUUAAUACCCGGGGCUAAUGACGGUACCGUAAGAAUAAGCACCGGCUAACUACGUG
rnacentral:rRNA from 1 species